CGGGUGAGUAAUACAUCGGAACGUGUCUUCUAGUGGGGGAUAACUGCCCGAAAGGGCAGCUAAUACCGCAUGAGACCUGAGGGUGAAAGCGGGGGAUCGCAAGACCCCGCGCUGGAAGAGCGGCCGAUGUCCGAUUAGCUAGUUGGUGAGGUAAAGGCUCACCAAGGCGACGAUCGGUAGCUGGUCUGAGAGGACGACCAGCCACACUGGGACUGAGACACGGCCCAG
rnacentral:rRNA from 1 species